rnacentral:rRNA from 1 species
CCUACGGGCGGCAGCAGUGGGGAAUAUUGCACAAUGGGCGCAAGCCUGAUGCAGCCAUGCCGCGUGUGUGAAGAAGGCCUUCGGGUUGUAAAGCACUUUCAGCGGGGAGGAAGGCGUUAAGGUUAAUAACCUUGUCGAUUGACGUUACCCGCAGAAGAAGCACCGGCUAACUCCGUGCCAGCAGCCGCGGUAAUACGGAGGGUGCAAGCGUUAAUCGGAAUUACUGGGCGUAAAGCGCACGCAGGCGGUCUGUCAAGUCGGAUGUGAAAUCCCCGGGCUCAACCUGGGAACUGCAUUCGAAACUGGCAGGCUAGAGUCUUGUAGAGGGGGGUAGAAUUCCAGGUGUAGCGGUGAAAUGCGUAGAGAUCUGGAGGAAUACCGGUGGCGAAGGCGGCCCCCUGAACAAAGACUGACGCUCAGGUGCGAAAGCGUGGGGAGCAAACAGGAUUAGAUACCCGUGUAGUC